rnacentral:rRNA from 1 species
UUUUUACCGUCAUUUGAGGGUAGAUUUAGUCCUACUACUUAUCUAGCUUGGGAGCUUAAAGUAGAACAAGUUUUUAGUCACCAUGACUUUUCUGAACUUGAGCGAGUGCGAGCAGCCACUAGAGCAUUUACUAAUUUUGCUUCUGUUUGGUGGAGUGUACAUUGUAAGAAAAACAUUGAUAACCAACCCACAACUUGGAAAGUUUUGAAAGCUGUAAUGAGACAACAAUUUUUCCCUCCUUAUUAUCGUCGUGAAUUGCUUCACAAAUUUGAACAAUUUAAACAAGGCAACAACACUGUUCAUGCUUACUACCAAGAGUUCAAAUCUUAUAUGCAUCAUUGUGACAUAGAAGAAUAUGAGAAUGAUACAAUGAAUAGAUUUUUUGGUGGUUUGAACCAUGAUAUUCAGGCAAGAUUUUAG